GUCAUCGCGAGGUGGCGUUUGGGGGAAGCCCAAUCCGAAGCCGGGGGCGACGAACAGGAACCCGAUACGAGGUGUGGUACGCCCGGGGCGAGCUGGCACGUGACAGCGAAGCCCUCCAUCUGCGAACGGGGUGUGCUUUAUAAAUCGGGCGUCUACGCGGUGACAGUUCUGUGU
rnacentral:ncRNA from 1 species